rnacentral:lncRNA from 1 species
CAAAUCCAAAUUGAGGGAUAUUCUACAAAAUAUCUGACCGCUACUCCUUGAAACUGUCAAGGUCAUGAAAAACAGAAACAGAUUGAGAAACUGUCAUUGACCAGGGGAGACUAAGGAGACAUAAUAACUAAUGACAAAAUACAAUAUGGCAUCCUGAACGAGAUCCUAAAACAGAAAAACUACAUUAGUAGACAGACCAAUGAAAUCCAAAUAAAGCCCAGGGUUUAGUUAAUAAUGAUCUACUGAUGCUGGUUUCUUAGUUUUGACAAAUGUGCCAUGGUAUUGUGAGAUGUUAACAUUAGGGGAAGCUGGGGAAGGGGUAUAUGGGAAUUCUCUGGACUAUCUUUGCAACUUUUCCAUAAAUCUAAAAUUAUCCCCAAAUAUAUAAAUUAUUACUAUCUUUUGAGACACGGUGUCACUCUGUAGCCUAGGCUGGAGUGCAGUUGAGAUAGAUCAGGUAGGUUGGUCACAGCCUCACUUAAAGGGGAAGAAGAUACUUGCCAAACAGACAGAUGGAGAGCACAGCUCAACGCUGCACAAACCGCAUCAGGAACUCGUGGUCAGAACAUCCUGCUGCAAGGAGGAAAAAGAGUAAAAGGGGAAAAAACCUCGAGCUUGCACAGGGACAGAAACCCUUGGUCAGUGUCUUUAGGUUGACCUAUACUCAUUUAACAGUAAAAACACACCCCAGGAUGGAGAAUUACAAUGCUAAUGAGACAUGCAAUGUAUAUACUGGCAUGUAUAGCAAUAGUGUGUGCUCAUCCAGAAGACCUUCCACAACAUGCUUAACAGCAACACUCAUUCCCACCCUUUAAUGAAUAAUUAUAUAAGCUUCUCAUAAAGGUAAUUUCCCCAGUGUAGGAUGGGGCUGUCUCAUUCUCAAGUAGCCCUCUCUGGCCCAGCUAUCAAGAGUGUACUUUCACUUUGCAAUAAACUACUUUGCCUACUUUUACUUUGGAUUUGCUCUCAAAUUCUUUUGCUCACCAAAGUCAAGAACCUGAACCGGCCCACCAACAACACAGUGGAGCUUUCACAGCUCACUGCAGCCUCGUUCUCCCUGGUUCAAGCAAUCCCCUCACCUAAGCCUCCAGAGUAGCUGGGACUACAGGUGUGCACCAUCGCGUCUGGCUAUUUAAAAAAAUUUUUGGUAGAGAAGAGGUCUUGCUAUGCUGCCCAGGCUGGUCUUGAACUCCUGAACUCAAGUACUCCUCCCGCCCCAGUCUUCCAAAGUGCUGGGAUUACAAGCAUGAGCCACUGUGUCUGGCCAAAAUAUAUAUUUCAAAAAAGACUGACUAAACCUCCAGCUCUCAUACAUUGUUGUGGUGGUAUAAACAGGUACAUUUAUUUUGGAAAACUGAGUUGCUUACCCUCCGACUCAGCAGUUCUAUUCUUGGGUAUCUAUCCAAGAGAAACCAGUGCACUUUUAUUAAUAGCCUAAACAUAGAAACAAAUGUCCACUAGCCAGAGAAUACUGAUACAUUCAACGAUACAAAUUAUAGAGACAUGUUGAGCUAAAGAAACCAAACACAAGAGUACAUUCUCGGCUGGGUGCAGUGGCUCAAACCUGUAAUCCUGGCACUCUGGGAGGCCAGGAGUUCAAGAUCAGCCUGGGCAACAUAGUGAGAGCCCCCAGCUCUACCAAAAAUUUAAAAAUUAGCGAGGGGUGGUAGCAUUCAUCUGUAGUACUAGCUAUUCAGUUGGCUGAGCCCAGAAAUUCGAGGUUACAGUGAGCUAUUAUUGUGUAUUAUUGUGCCUCUGAACUCCGGCCUGGGCAACAGAGCAAGAUGCUGUCUUUUUUUUUUUUUUUUUUUUUUUUUUGAGUCAGGAGUAUCACCAUGUUGCCCAGGCUGGUCAAGAACUUCUGGCCUAAAGCUAUACUCUGGCCUUGGUCCGUCUCUUAAAAAAAAAAAAAGGGGAGCUGGGCUUGGUGGCUCAAGCCUGUAAUCCCAGCACCUUGGGAGGCCGAGGCAGGCGGAUCGUAUGAGCUGAGGUGUUGGAGAACAGCUUGGGCAACAUGGCAAGACCUCAUCUCUACAAAAAAUACAAAAAUUAGCUGGGUGUGGUUGUGUGUGCCUGUAGUCCCAGUUACUUGGGGGGCUGAGGCAGGAGGAUCACUUGAGCCCAGGAGGUCCAGGCUGCAGUGAGCCAAGAUGGCACCACUGCACUCCAGCCUGGAUGACAGAAACCCUCUCUCUCUCUCAAAAAAAGUAUAUACUAUGAGUCCAUUUAUAUGAAAUUCUUGAAAGGACAAUACUAAUGGAUGUGAUUUUGUAGAGUAGUGCUCACUUCCACAGCAGCAACAGUAACUUAUGAACCUGUACACUUAAGGUUAGUGCACUUUAAGCCUCAAAUUAAAAAAAAAAAACAAACUGGUUAAAGUUUGCCAUUUCAACUAUUUUAUUUAUUUAUUUAUUUAUUUAUUUAUUUAUUUAUUUAGAGAUGGAGUCUUGCUCUUGUCACCCAGGCUGGAGUGCAGUGGCACGAUCUUGGCUCACUGCAACCUCCGCCUCCCGGGUUCAAGCGAUUCUCCUGCCUCAGCCACCCAAGUAGCUGCGACUAUAGGCACCCGCCACCACAACCGGCUAAUUUUUGUAUUUUUAGUAGAGACAGGGUUUCACCAUGUUGGCCAGGCCGCUCAAACUCCUGACCUCAGGUAAUCCACCCACCUUGGCCUCCCAAAGUGCUGGGAUUACAGGUGUGAGCCACCGCACCCGGCCUCAACCAUUUUAAAGUGUACAAUUCAGUGGCAUUAGGUAUAUGCACAAUGUUAUGCAACCACCACCACUUUCCAUUUCCAGAAUGUCAUCAUCCCAAAGAGAAACUCCCCUCCCCUCCUGCUCAGUCCCUGGUAAUCUAUAUUCUACUUUGGAUGGAUUUGCCUACUGUAGCUACAUCACAUUAGUGUUUCUGUGUACUUUGAAGCCAGAUUGGCAGAGAAAGAAAAAUGGUAAGGAAAUAGCUUCUUGAGAUAUUUGGCUGUGAAUAUAGUAUAUGUGGUAGCUGGAGGGGAUAAGGGUGGGGUUUUGGCUUUAUGUUUUAAGAUGGUUGCAAUUUGAACUUAAGAGUCAAAGUUGAGAGUUCCCAAGUCAGAAGGAAGUUGAAUAACUGAGGCCUGCAAAGGCAUGGUAAGAUCAGCGACUGUGUUUUGGGGUGGGGAGAAGGGGGCACUGGAAUAGAAGUUUGGGGUGAAUUUAUGAAGGGAAUCUUUUGCCAGGAUAAGUUUUAAACUUUAAUAAUAUCACCACCAGGAUUUGAGUACCUUUGCCAGGCACUGGGUUAGGUACUGGACAUAAUUCUCUUUUAUAACCACCCAGCAAGACAGGUAUUAUUGGUAUGAACUUAUUCAUACUUUUUUCUUUUUUGAGACAGAGUCUUGUUCUGUCACCCAGGCUGGAGUGCAAUGGUGCCAUCUCGGCUCACCGCAACCUCCGCCUUCUGGGUUCAAGAGAUUCUCCUGCCUCAGCCUCCCGAGUAGCUGGGACUACAAGUGUGUGCCACCACACCCAGCUAAUUUUUGUAUUUUUAGUAGAGACAGGGUUUCAUCAUGAUGGUCAGGCUGAUCUCUAACUCCUGACAUCGUGAUCCACCCACUUCAGCCUCCCGAAGUGUCAGGAUUACAGGCAUGAGCCACUGCACCCAGCCUGUUCAUACCAGUUUUAUUGGUAUGAACUCAGUUUGAGAGAAUUUGCCAAAGACCAGUUUUUAGUGGAUAGGCUCAAAAUAUUUGAAACAUAACCAACUUUGUGAAUGUCUGUAUGAGAAGGCAAACAAUUUUGGCCCUUUAAGCUCAGGUUGGAGUGUUACUGGCUUCACUGAGUGUCUCUGGGCAGCCUUAAAGAUGCUGAAGGGUGGGGGUGGGAGGGUUUGGAGAAGAAAUUAGGAGGUGCAGAAAGAACAGGAGAUGGCCAAAGUCAGCCUAGUUUGGUUAAGAAAAAAAUUUGGCCAUGCCUUUGGUAAACCGGGGGGAGGCCUGUCAUGGACUUCAGGCCAUGUACUAAAGGAUCUAUUGGACCAGGCCUAGGAUUGGCUGUGCAAAGCAAACAGCAGGCAGAUAAUCAUGCUUAAGAGUGCAGGGAGGGCUGGGCGUGGUGGCUCACGCCUGUAAUCCCAGCAUUUUGGGAGGCUGAGGUGGGUGGCUUACUUGAGGUCAGGGGUUAGAGGCCAGCCUGGCCAACUGGGCAAAACCCCACCCGACUCUACUAAAAAUACAAAAAUGGCAGGGUGUGGUGGCUCAUGCCUGGCCUCAGCACUUUGGGAGGCUGAGGCGGGCGGAUCACUUAAGGUCAGGAGUUGGCCAACAUGGUGAAACCACGCCUCUACUAAAAAUACAAAAAUUAGCUGGGUGUGGUGGUGGGGGGUGGGGUGCCUGUAAUCCCAGCUACUCAGGAGAAUUGCUUGAACCCAGACAGCGGAGGUUGUGGUGAGCAGAGAUCGCACCACUGUGCUGGGCGAUAGAGUAAGCAAGACUCUG